UAUGGCAUACAUAGUAUGGGUUGGGGCUUCUUAUGUGAUUCCUAUGUCCAUCUACUAUGUUUGUUUGUUUUGAUACCAUUUACAGCUAUGUUAAUACAACUAC